rnacentral:rRNA from 1 species
ACUCCUACGGGAGGCAGCAGUGGGGAAUAUUGCACAAUGGGGGAAACCCUGAUGCAGCCAUGUCGCGUGUGUGAAGAAGGCCUUCGGGUUGUAAAGCACUUUCAGUAGGGAGGAAGGUAGUGUAGUUAACACCUGCACUAUUUGACGUUACCUACAGAAGAAGCACCGGCUAACUCCGUGCCAGCAGCCGCGGUAAUACGGAGGGUGCGAGCGUUAAUCGGAAUUACUGGGCGUAAAGCGCAUGCAGGCGGCCUGUUAAGUCAGAUGUGAAAGCCCGGGGCUUAACCUCGGAAUUGCAUUUGAAACUGGCAGGCUAGAGUCUUGUAGAGGGGGGUAGAAUUUCAGGUGUAGCGGUGAAAUGCGUAGAGAUCUGAAGGAAUACCAGUGGCGAAGGCGGCCCCCUGGACAAAGACUGACGCUCAGAUGCGAAAGCGUGGGGAGCAAACAGGAUUAGAUACCCUGGUAGGAUAGCG